UACAGAGGGGGCAAGCGUUGUUCGGAAUUACUGGGCGUAAAGGGCGCGUAGGCGGCCUGUUAAGUCGAACGUGAAAUCCCCGGGCUCAACCCGGGAACUGCGUCCGAUACUGGCAGGCUUGAAUCCGGGAGAGGGAUGCGGAAUUCCAGGUGUAGCGGUGAAAUGCGUAGAUAUCAGGAGGAACACCAACGGCGAAGGCAGCACUCUGGGCCGGUACUGACGCUGAGGAGCGAAAGCGUGGGGAGCAAACAGG
rnacentral:rRNA from 1 species